GUGGGGAAUCUUAGACAAUGGGCGCAAGCCUGAUCUAGCCAUGCCGCGUGAGCGAUGAAGGCCUUAGGGUUGUAAAGCUCUUUCGUGGGGGAAGAUAAUGACUGUACCCCAAGAAGAAGCCCCGGCUAACUCCGUGCCAGCAGCCGCGGUAAUACGGAGGGGGCUAGCGUUGUUCGGAAUUACUGGGCGUAAAGCGCACGUAGGCGGACUGGAAAGUCAGGGGUGAAAUCCCUGGGCUCAACCCCGGAACUGCCUUUGAAACUCCCAGUCUUGAGUUCGAGAGAGGUGAGUGGAAUUCCGAGUGUAGAGGUGAAAUUCGUAGAUAUUCGGAGGAACACCAGUGGCGAAGGCGGCUCACUGGCUCGAUACUGACGCUGAGGUGCGAAAGCGUGGGAAGCAAACAGGAUUAGAAACCCCUGUAGUCC
rnacentral:rRNA from 1 species